rnacentral:rRNA from 1 species
CGGAGGGAUCAUUAAAGAGUUCUAUAACUCCCAAACCCAUGUGAACAUACCUAACGUUGCCUCGGCAGGUCGCACCUACCUUGUAGCACCUUACCCUGUAAGGCCUACCCGGGAGGUGCGGGUAAGCCUGCCGGCGGCCCACCAAACUCUGUUUGAUAUUGAAUUCUGAACCUAUAACUAAAUAAGUUAAAACUUUCAACAACGGAUCUCUUGGUUCUGGCAUCGAUGAAGAACGCAGCGAAAUGCGAUAAGUAAUGUGAAUUGCAGAAUUCAGUGAAUCAUCGAAUCUUUGAACGCAUAUUGCGCCCAUUAGUAUUCUAGUGGGCAGGACCGUUCGAGCGUCAUUUCAACCCUUAAGCCUUCGUUGCUUAGUGUUGGGAGCCUACGGCAACGUAGCUCCUCAAAGUUAGUGGCGGAGUUGGUUCACACUCUAGACGUAGUAAUUUUUUAUCUCGCCUAUUAGUUGAACUAAUACCCUGCCGUAAAACCCCCAAUUUAUCAAGGUUGACCUCGAAUCGGUUCAGACAAACUCGCUAAAUUGAAGCAUCUUAGUCAGCGAAGGAAAAGAAACCAACAGGGAUUGCCCUAGUAACGGCGAGUGAAGCGGCAACAGCUCAAAUUUGAAAUCUGGCCCUCGGGUCC